rnacentral:rRNA from 1 species
UACGUAGGGUGCAAGCGUUGUCCGGAAUUAUUGGGCGUAAAGAGCUCGUAGGCGGUUUGUCGCGUCUGCUGUGAAAAUCCGAGGCUCAACCUCGGACUUGCAGUGGGUACGGGCAGACUAGAGUGUGGUAGGGGAGACUGGAAUUCCUGGUGUAGCGGUGAAAUGCGCAGAUAUCAGGAGGAACACCGAUGGCGAAGGCAGGUCUCUGGGCAUUAACUGACGCUGGAGGAGCGGAAAAGCAUGGGGAGCGAACAGG